rnacentral:lncRNA from 1 species
UUUGGUAUAUAAAGGAUUUUUUUUUAAGGGAAGGGAGUGAACAUUUCAGAGUUAUUUAUUUAUAUAUAUAAAAUGAAUAGAUGAUUUUGCAGGAUCGAUAUGUUUAUAUAUUUUUUUGAGAGAUAGAUAACACACUACCCGCUUCGUUUAUUUCAUUUAGAAAUAAAUUUAGCUAGAAAUGUGAAUCAACUAGGAUUCGAACUUGAGUCUCGGGUACCAAUCACCAAGCCUUUUGCCACUUGCUCUAGGGACGAUCGAUAUCGAUAUAUUUAUGUAGAAGCCGGGAAAUGAACUUUUUUUACUGCUGUGU